rnacentral:sRNA from 1 species
UGAAAUCUAAAUGUCUGAACUGUCUUGGU